UCAGAUUGAACGCUGGCGGCAGGCCUAACACAUGCAAGUCGAGCGGAUGAAAGGAGCUUGCUCCUGGAUUCAGCGGCGGACGGGUGAGUAAUGCCUAGGAAUCUGCCUGGUAGUGGGGGACAACGUUUCGAAAGGAACGCUAAUACCGCAUACGUCCUACGGGAGAAAGCAGGGGACCUUCGGGCCUUGCGCUAUCAGAUGAGCCUAGGUCGGAUUAGCUAGUUGGUGAGGUAAUGGCUCACCAAGGCGACGAUCCGUAACUGGUCUGAGAGGAUGAUCAGUCACACUGGAACUGAGACACGGUCCAGACUCCUACGGGAGGCAGCAGUGGGGAAUAUUGGACAAUGGGCGAAAGCCUGAUCCAGCCAUGCCGCGUGUGUGAAGAAGGUCUUCGGAUUGUAAAGCACUUUAAGUNNNAGGAAGGGUUGUAGAUUAAUACUCUGCAAUUUUGACGUUACCGACAGAAUAAGCACCGGCUAACUCUGUGCCAGC
rnacentral:rRNA from 1 species